GGAGGGCAAGUCUGGUGCCAGCAGCCGCGGUAAUUCCAGCUCCAAUAGCGUAUAUUAAAGUUGUUGCAGUUAAAAAGCUCGUAGUUGGAUUUCUGUUAAUAAUUUAUAUAAAAUAUUUUGAUGAAUAUUUAUAUAAUAUUAACAUAAUUCAUAUUACUAUUUUUUUUAGUAUAUGAAAUUUUACUUUGAGAAAAUUAGAGUGCUUAAAGCAGGCAUAUGCCUUGAAUACUCCAGCAUGGAAUAAUAUUAAAGAUUUUUAUCUUUCUUAUUGGUUCUAAGAUAAGAAUAAUGAUUAAUAGGGACAGUUGGGGGCAUUUGUAUUUAACAGUCAGAGGUGAAAUUCUUAGAUUUGUUAAAGACAAACUAAUGCGAAAGCAUUUGCCAAGGAUGUUUUCAUUAAUCAAGAACGAAAGUUAGGGGAUCGAAGACGAUCAGAUACCGUCGUAGUCUUAACCAUAAACUAUGCCAACUAGAGAUUGGAGGUUGUUCCUUACUCCUUCAGCACCUUA
rnacentral:rRNA from 1 species